AACGAACGCUGGCGGCGCGCUUAACACAUGCAAGUCGAACGAGAAGCUGUAGCAAUACAGUUGUACAGUGGCGAACGGGUGAGGAAUACAUGGGUAACCUACCCUCGGUGGGAAUAACCAGCCGAAAGGCUGGCUAAUACCGCGUACGCUUCCCAAUCUGCGGGUUGGGAAGGAAAGCUCUACCGUGGGUAGAGCGCUCAAGGGACGGGCUCAUGUCCUAUCAGCUUGUUGGAGGGUAACGGCCUACCAAGGCAACGACGGGUAGCUGGUCUGAGAGGACGAUCAGCCACACUGGC
rnacentral:rRNA from 1 species